rnacentral:rRNA from 1 species
GACGGAGGGUGCUAGCGUUGUUCGGAAUUACUGGGCGUAAAGGGCGCGUAGGCGGCUACGGCAGUCGGGUGUGAAAGCCCGGGGCUCAACCCCGGAACGGCAUCCAAUACUCUGUGGCUAGAGACCGGAAGAGGUGGGUGGAAUACCCAGUGUAGAGGUGAAAUUCGUAGAUAUUGGGUGGAACACCGGUGGCGAAAGCGGCUCACUGGUCCGGUUCUGACGCUGAGGCGCGAAAGCGUGGGGAGCAAACAGG